GAGCAGGAAGUGGCUGCGGCGCGGCCUCCUCGCGGUGCAACAGGGCGGGGAGGCGGCCGCAGCCCGAGCCGGAGCCCGAGCGCCGGGAGCGAGACCUCAUGGCAGCGGUGGCGCCCGCGGGCCCCGGGGACUCCGCCUCGGCCGCCCUGGACGAGCUGUCACUGAAUUUCACGUACGGGGCACCAGGCGCCGGCAACGGCUCCCUCUCGGGCGACUGGUACCGCAGGAACCAGAUUCACCUUUUUGGAGUUUUGCUGGCUAUUUUAGGAAACUUGGUGAUCAGUAUUUCUCUAAAUAUUCAGAAAUAUUCUCACCUUCAGCUGGCACAACAAGAGCACCCAAGGCCAUACUUCAAGAGUGUGCUGUGGUGGGGUGGUGUCCUGCUGAUGGCCGUGGGAGAGACGGGGAACUUUGCAGCCUAUGGAUUUGCUCCCAUUACUCUGAUCGCUCCGUUAGGCUGUGUGUCUGUUACAGGUAGUGCCAUUAUUUCUGUUACAUUUCUGAAAGACAAUUUGAGAGCCUCAGACUUACUCGCAAAUGAAAGUUUGUUUUUCAUGAUGGAACAAAUGAAGAUUUGGGGACCAUGUGGAAACAAGCUGAACUAAUUUAUUGCCAAAUGUUACUCUGUGACUGUGAAGCUUUUCAUCACUAGUCUCAAAAAAUGACCUCACAAAGCUAUUUCUGAAAGCAAUCGCCAGACAAAGGAAGUGGAGCAAGAUGGCUGAAUAGAAGCCUCUACCAAUCGUCCUCCCUGCAGGAACAGCAAAUUUUACAAGUAUCUACACACGAAAAAAGCACCUUCGUAAGAACCAAAACUCAGGUACGACACUGGCAUUUGCAGGAACAUAUUUACUGGUGAACUUUGCUCCAAAUAUAACUCAGGCAAUCUCAGCAAGAACAGUACAGUAUUACCUUGUCGGAUGGCAGUUCCUGAUCUAUGUGAUUUUAGAAAUAUUAAUUUUCUGCAUUCUCCUGUAUUUCUAUAAAAGAAAAGGAAUGAAGCAUAUGGUGAUUCUGCUAACCCUGGUGGCAAUUCUAGCCUCAUUGACUGUUAUUUCAGUAAAGGCCGUCUCAGGCAUGAUCACUUUUUCUGUGAUGGAUAAAAUGCAACUAACUUACCCCAUUUUCUAUAUCAUGUUUAUCAUCAUGAUAGCAUCUUGUGUUUUCCAAGUCAAGUUCCUGAAUCAAGCCACGAAACUCUACAAUACGACAACAGUGGUGCCAGUUAAUCAUAUUUUCUUUACAAUCAGUGCCAUCAUUGCAGGUAUCAUAUUUUAUCAGGAAUUCCUUGGUGCUCCUUUUCUCACUGUAUUUAUAUAUCUUUUUGGGUGUUUUCUGUCAUUCCUUGGUGUAUUUUUGGUCACAAGAAAUCGAGAAAAGGAACAUCUGCAACAGUCUUAUAUUGAUUUUGGAAAUAUUCCUGGGAAACAAAUGUUGGACAAAAUACAACCAGAUUCACAUAGCUUAUCCUAUGGAACUUUGCCUGAUGGAAGUGACUCAACAAAGAGCCAAAGUGGAGAGAAGAAAGAGGUCUAAAUGCUGAGAAGGAUGGCUGUUGGCCUGUUAUUCGAUACCACCUUUUUAAAAAAUUGCACAUGUUCAAUUUGUGUCAGCAGCUCUUUUAUAAGCUAACAUGUGCUAGCAUUCAUUUCAGUCCUUUCCCCCACCUCAGCGUCUAUGGACAAUCGGGGACUUCCUAAGCUCUGACAGUCUAAUAUUUCCAUGGAAUGUGAUUUGGAGUGUUCCCCACACCCUGGACCUCUCCCUAGUGAUUAUCUAGCCAGCUACACCUUACUCAGAGCCCGGCUGCUCUAGCAGGAAUGUUGCACAGAAACAUACAUUUGCGGUUUGGCCACAGGUCGCAUAGGUGGCUUCUCCCACGGGUAGUGUCAGUUGCUUCACUUUAAAAAGUCACUUCAGCCCCACAACCUCACUCCCAAAAGAAAGGUUUGAGAGCGCUCAUUUUUUUUCUAAGACACCUUUUAUAAGCCUCCCUAUAAAAAUCUCACCUUUCAAGUACUAAGUUAGAAUUGCAAGUCAUCUUUUCUGAAAACUAAUGCUAUCAAAGUCCUCCUUUGAAAAUUAAGGGUCUCUUUAAAAUUAGAAUUUAUAAAUGGCAUUCAGUGAUAGUGUACACCAAAAUUAAAAGACCUUGACUGGUGGGCUUUUUACGUGUAAGGAAGAGGAAGUUUAAGAAGUAGGACUCUGCUUGUUUCAGUAGCCCAUGUACUAAAAUAGGAACAAUGCAGAGAUUAGCACAGCCCCUGCACAAGGCUGACACAUAAAUUCAUGAAGCGUUAGAGACAAAAAGUAGGACUAAUGUUUGUUUAUUUUUUAAUAAAAAUCUAGAAUGGUGAUGUUUUCUUCAGCUGUAUGAUUCUAUCAUACUUGAAACUGAAGAAAAAUUUAAUAUCCUAUGUCUUUUUUAUAGAUCUUAUAAUUUAUCAAGUGGAUUUAUAUGUCUUAUUCUCCAUAUAAGUCUAAAAAAUCACAUUUAAAUUCUUAGUGAUAGUUUCACUACACAUCAUUUCUUCCCAAAGUCAUUACCUCAAGCUUUGUAAAUUCUUCUAGAUAAAAGGAGAGUUGUGAUUAGAGAACUGAAUUUCAGCCAUUUAAACCUGUAGACAUAGAAAACAACCCAGUGGUCAAACCUGAGCUUCAAGAGGAAGCCCAAGUCCUCCUGUUUCCUGAAUGGCUUUUCCACUCCAAUUCAUCACAUAUCUGCUAAGACACAUUUGCAGGUAGAAUCCAUAAUAAUAUCUGUUAUUUAUGAUCUACCUAAUAUUUAAAGGAGAAGAAAAGAAGUAGCCUUCGUUGCAGCCAACAUCCAACAAUAAGUCCCACCCUUAAUGACAUUUCAAAGCCUUCAGAUCACUUCUGACAUGUCUGUCCAAUAUCAUUCCAAUCAAUAGUCUUGCAUUUAAAUAGGUUGUUUAACUCGGUGGUAUUGAGACUGUAACCUUAAUGGCUCAGGUCUUUUAGCUUUGUUCUUUGUCAUAAUCUGCACUCCUGGCCAGACUGACCAAACCUGGCUGCAAAGGAAAGAGAUUUGAAUUGAUCACCAAUGUAUGAAAAAUACAGAACCCAUGUCUGGCUCCUAAACUCCUGGUAAUAAUUCCCGCCAUCGUAGCAAGUGUCCCAUGCAUUCAGAUAAAGCAGUCAUAAUUUAUGGUGUAUUUUACCGAAUUGGUCCAGCAUAUUGGUCCUACAAGGCUCAGCCAAGAAAUGUAUCUGGUGCCUUAAACUACAGAUUUCUGGUGACUCUUAAAACUGGUUUACAAAGAUUGAGAAAACAAUUAGAUUGAAGAGUUUUGCUUCAAGUAGACCUGCAUUCAUAGCUAGAGUGCAUGAGAUUUUCAGCACUGUAGAAUUUCACACAGGCACAAGCAUAACACCAGUACUUUAGCAGCCGCCAACAGUUGCAUCUAUUAAACGUUUUGAGAAAUGACAUUGACUUAUGCACAUUUAAGCAAUCAACAAUGUUUUAGAAGUCCAGGUAACAUAUAAAAUAUAUUCAGACCUAGUUUUACUUUCCAUAUUGUUGCUCCAAAGUAAGGUAAAUAGGAGUUUUAGUUGUACUGGCCUGUAAGAUUUUUUAAAUUACACAGUGCAUGACAACAACUAAAGCCAACUCAGUCCUUCUCUUGGCAUUGUGAGUUGAGGACCUUUAGCCAACUGUUAGCUCAUCUGACUAUCUGUCUAGACCAAGGGUCGGCAAAGUUUUCAGUAAAGACCCACAGAGUACAUAUUUUGGAGUUUGUGUUGUCUGUACCAACAGACAGACAUGGUGUCUGUCCCAACUACCCAACUCUGCCAUUGUAGCACUAAAGCAGCCAUAGACAAGAUGUAAACAGAAGAGCAUGGCUGUGUUCCAGUAAAACUUUAUUUACAGGCCAGGCAUGGUGGCUCAUGCCUGUAAUCCCAGCACUCUGGGAGGCUGAGGCUGACAGAUCAUCUGAGGUUAGGAGUUUGGGACCAGCCUGGUCAACAUAGUGAAACCCCAUCUCUACUAAAAGUACAAAAAUUAGCCAGGCAUGACGGUGGGUGCCUGGAGUCCCAGCUACCUGGGAGGCUGAGGCAGGAGAAUCACUUGAACCCGGGAGGUGGAGGUUGCAGUGAGCCGAGAUCAUGCCAUUGCACUCCAGCCUGGGCGACAGAGUAAGACUGUCUCAAAAACAAACAAACAAACAAACAAACAAAAACAAGUGGCCAGUCUGUGAGCUAUAGUUCCCAACACCUGGUCUAGACUCUUCUGCCCUUGCUCUGCAGCUUCUUUCCUGUUGAUUGGGCAUUCAGGGAAGGAGUUUAAAAAGUGACACUCAUGGCUCAUGACAAAUGAGAUACUUUGGGAGUGUGGAAACAUGGCUUGAUAUUUGCCUUCAGAUAUUUUUGCUUAUAUAAGUUCUAAAUGGAAGUGAUAAGUUCAUUCUUAGGGUCCAAGUUGAAAGGCAGUGGUUCUUUUGUGAACACCACUAACUACAUUCGAAAAGCCUCUCCAAUUCCACAUUCCAAGUCUAUAACAGCUUUGGAAAUGAGUAACAAUGACCUCUCAUGUAGUAGAUUAAAGCAGAGGCCUUUGCCAUAUGAUUGUUUUUUGGCUUAAAUGUUUGCUUGCCCUGUAACUGUAAUACUUUGGUUACCAGAAUCACUUGAAAACAAAUACAAUAAAAAAAUUUCUCAAGCAGUGA